rnacentral:rRNA from 1 species
UGAUCCUGGCUCAGGAUGAACGCUAGCGGCAGGCUUAACACAUGCAAGUCGAGGGGUAACAUUGUAGCUUGCUACAGAUGACGACCGGCGCACGGGUGCGUAACGCGUAUAGAAUCUGCCUUCUACAGAGGGAUAGCCUUUAGAAAUGAAGAUUAAUACCUCAUAACACUUUGGAAUGGCAUCGUUUUAAAGUUAAAGAUUUAUCGGUAGAAGAUGACUAUGCGUCCUAUUAGCUAGAUGGUAAGGUAACGGCUUACCAUGGCAACGAUAGGUAGGGGUCCUGAGAGGGAGAUCCCCCACACUGGUACUGAGACACGGACCAGACUCCUACGGGAGGCAGCAGUGAGGAAUAUUGGGCAAUGGAGGCAACUCUGACCCAGCCAUGCCGCGUGCAGGAAGACUGCCCUAUGGGUUGUAAACUGCUUUUAUACAGGAAGAAACGUACCUACGAGUAGGUAUUGACGUACUGUAAGAUAAGACCGCUAACUCCGUG